rnacentral:rRNA from 1 species
CCAAUAGCGUAUAUUAAAGUUGUUGCAGUUAAAAAGCUCGUAGUUGAACUUCGGGGUUUGCUCAUUGGUCAGGCUUAAUUGUCUGUACUGGUGAGAUAAAUCUCUACCUUCUGAGGAACUUUCAUGCCAUUUAUUUGGUGUGAUGGGAAAUCAGGACUGUUACUUUGAAAAAAUUAGAGUGUUUAAAGCAGACUAACGUCUGAAUACAUUAGCAUGGAAUAAUGAAAUAGGACGGACUGAUUCUAUUUCGUUGGUUUCUAGGAUCACCGUAAUGAUUAAUAGGGAUAGUUGGGGGCAUUAGUAUUCAAUUGUCAGAGGUGAAAUUCUUGGAUUUAUUGAAGACUAACUACUGCGAAAGCAUUUGCCAAGGAUGUUUUCAUUAAUCAAGAACGAAAGUUAGGGGAUCGAAGACGAUCAGAUACCGUCGUAGUCUUAACCAUAAACUAUGCCGACUAGGGAUCGGACGAAGUUAAUUUUAUAAUGACGCGUUCGGCACCUUACG